rnacentral:rRNA from 1 species
GAAUGCAGUCGAACGAACUUAACCAUUAGUUUACUAUUGGAGCGGUUAGUGGCGGACUGGUGAGUAACACGUAAGCAACCUGCCUAUCAGAGGGGAACAACAGUUAGAAAUGACUGCUAAUACCGCAUAUGCCUUAGAAUCACAUGGUUCAAAAGGGAAAGGAGCAAUCCGCUGAUAGAUGGGCUUGCGUCUGAUUAGCUAGUUGGUGGGGUAACGGCCUACCAAGGCGACGAUCAGUAGCCGAACUGAGAGGUUGAACGGCCACAUUGGGACUGAGAUACGGCCCAGACUCCUACGGGAGGCAGCAGUCGGGAAUAUUGCGCAAUGGAGGAAACUCUGACGCAGUGACGCCGCGUGCAGGAAGAAGGUUUUCGGAUUGUAAACUGCUUUAGACAGGGAAGAACAAAGACAGUACCUGUAGAAUAAGCUCCGGCUAACUACGUGCCAGCAGCCGCGGUAAUACGUAGGGAGCGAGCGUUAUCCGGAUUUAUUGGGUGUAAAGGGUGCGUAGACGGGAAGUCAAGUUAGUUGUGAAAUCCCUCGGCUUAACUGAGGAACUGCAACUAAAACUGAUUUUCUUGAGUACUGGAGAGGAAAGUGGAAUUCCUAGUGUAGCGGUGAAAUGCGUAGAUAUUAGGAGGAACACCGGUGGCGAAGGCGACUUUCUGGACAGAAACUGACGUUGAGGCACGAAAGUGUGGGGAGCAAACAGGAUUAGAUACCCUGGUAGUCCACACCGUAAACGAUGGGUACUAGGUGUAGGGGAUAUUAAAAUUCUCUGUGCCGCCGCUAACGCAAUAAGUAUCCCACCUGGGGAGUACGGCCGCAAGGUUGAAAC